rnacentral:sRNA from 1 species
UGGGCAUUGACAGCGGGCGACUGCAGGAGAAGCUGACCAGCCGCAAGAUGGACAGCCGCUGGGGUGGGCGCAGCGAGUCCAUCGAUGUGACCCUCAACGUGGAGCAGGCAGCCUACACCCGUGACGCCCUGGCCAAGGGGCUCUAUGCCCGCCUCUUCGACUUCCUCGUGGAGGCCAUCAACCGUGCUAUGCAGAAACCCCAGGAAGAGUACAGCAUCGGUGUGCUGGACAUUUACGGCUUCGAGAUCUUCCAGAAAAACGGCUUCGAGCAGUUUUGCAUCAACUUCGUCAAUGAGAAGCUGCAGCAAAUCUUUAUCGAACUCACCCUGAAGGCCGAGCAGGUGGGCAGCCAAGCAGUCAGGGAUGGGGGAUCCUGGGGUGGGGGUGGGGUGGAAGGACCAUGAGGAUCCCUUAGCAACUAGGGGACACCCCAGCCCUCUCCACCGCAUUCCCACCUCUCUGUGCCAACCUACCCAGGCUCCAUAGUGAUACUUCCUUCUGCCUCUAAAGCUUUGGGAAGGAC